rnacentral:rRNA from 1 species
AACGAACGCUGGCGGCAUGCCUAACACAUGCAAGUCGAACGAGACCUUCGGGUCUAGUGGCGCACGGGUGCGUAACGCGUGGGAACCUGCCCUUAGGUUCGGAAUAACUCCCCGAAAGGGGUGCUAAUACCGGAUAAUGUCUUCGGACCAAAGAUUUAUCGCCUUUGGAUGGGCCCGCGUUGGAUUAGCUAGUUGGUAGGGUAAAAGCCUACCAAGGCGACGAUCCAUAGCUGGUCUGAGAGGAUGAUCAGCCACACUGGGACUGAGACACGGCCCAGACUCCUACGGGAGGCAGCAGUGGGGAAUAGUGGACAAGGGGCGAAAGCCUGAUCCAGCAAUGCCGCGUGAGUGAUGAAGGCCUUAGGGUUGUAAAGCUCUUUUACCCGGGAUGAUAAUGACAGUACCGGGAGAAUAAGCUCCGGCUAACUCCGUG